rnacentral:rRNA from 1 species
GACGAACGCUGGCGGCGUGCUUAACACAUGCAAGUCGAGCGGUAAGGCCCUUUCGGGGGUACACGAGCGGCGAACGGGUGAGUAACACGUGGGUGACCUGCCCUCAGCUCUGGGGAUAAGCCCGGGAAACUGGGUCUAAUACUGGAUAUGACUCCACGGUGCAUGCCGUGGGGGUGGAAAGCCUUGUGCGGCUGAGGAUGGGGCCCGCGGCCUAUCAGCUUGUUGGUGGGGUGAUGGCCUACCAAGGCGACGACGGGUAGCCGGCCUGAGAGGGCGACCGGCCACACUGGGACUGAGACACGGCCCAGACUCCUACGGGAGGCAGCAGUGGGGAAUCUUGCGCAAUGGGCGAAAGCCUGACGCAGCGACGCCGCGUGAGGGAUGACGGCCU